AGGAUAAACGCUGGCGGCGUGCCUAACACAUGCAAGUCGAACGUCUCUUCUUUCGGGAAGAGGAGUGGCGGACGGGUGAGGAACACGUGGGAACCUGCCCUUUAGUGAGGAAUACCGGCGAGAAAUCGCCGACAAGACCGCAUAGCCCUCUUUGAUGAGAGUCAAAGAAGGAAAGCUUCGCAAGAGGCGCUAGAGGAGGGGCCUGCGCCCGAUUAGCUAGCUGGUGGAGUAACGGUUCACCAGGGCGACGAUCGGUAGCUGGUCUGAGAGGACGAUCAGCCACACUGGGAUUGAGAACGGCCCAGACUCCUACGGGGGGCAGCAGUGAGGAAUUUUCGUCAAUGGGGGCAACCCUGAACGAGCAACGCCGCGUGCAGGAAGAAGGUUUUCGGAUCGUAGACUGCUUUUCGUCGGGGAAGAGAACGGACGGUACCCGAGGAAUCAGCCCCGGCUAACUACGUGCCAGCAGCCGC
rnacentral:rRNA from 1 species